UGAAUGAUGAAAAGAGGAAGUAAAUCUAGUCUUUCAGCAACCUGAUAUCCGUCUUCUGCUCAUUGACGACAGAGGAAAGGCGUCUUUGAACACAUCGUUCCUCCUUCACUUCUCACAGAGAUGAGAGGAGCAGCUAUGAGUUUAACUGCAGCAGCGAGUGGAUUAGUGGUCUUCCUGCUCUCUGUGUCAGUGGUUCAGGGUCAGGAUGUCUGGGGAGUGGCUUACUCUUCUACUGAGAUCUGUGCAGUGAAAGGAUCAACAGUGGAGAUAAACUGCAGCUACACAUACCCAUCUACAUGGAGAGGUGGUGUUAACACAGUAGAGAAAACAUUCUGGUUUACUAAACAGAAAGGUGGUGAACCUGUAGAUCUGAGAACAGACUCAGAGUAUGCAGGUCGUGUAGAGACUCUCUGUGGAAACAACACCUGCACUCUGAGAAUCAGAAACCUGAGAGAGAGAGACUCAGCUCAGUACAGGUUCAGGUUCACAACAAAACAAGGUGCUUAUGCUGGUGAACCAGUCACUCUGUCUGUCCCAGAUCCAGGUAUCCAGGUGAAGGUGAGUAAAACAAGUUCCUGCUAUGGAAGCUGUAUAUAUGCAGACCUGGAGUGUGUCCGCGGUUGUCUUCCAACUUCUCGUCGUUCCUACAUCUGGUACAAGGAUGGACAGAAAAUAGCAAAGGAUGCAAAAUCUUUUAAUGACUAUUUCUAUCCUAAAGAAAGCUAUGCCUGUGCUGUUAAAGGAUAUGAGAAUGUCCCCUCUCCUUCAGUGUGUGUUAAUGGUGGAGUCUGCAAUACUGUGACUUACAGUGAGAGAAGCAUCUGUGCCUUCAAAGGAUCAUCAGUGGACAUUUCCUGCACGUACAGUAGUAAUGAAGACCAUGUUAAAUCUAAAUUCUGGUUCAGACCUGAGCGUAGUCAUCAGGACCUUAGUGAAGACUCCCAGUAUAGAAAACGUGUUCAGGUUCUUUCACCAAGGAGAGAAUCCACUCUGAGGAUCUCUGACCUGAGAGACUCAGAUUCAGCUCAGUAUCUCUUCACAUUCAAAACAGCAAGCUCUGAAUGGGGGAGGGAUUUACCUGGAACCACUCUGACUGUCACAGCUCUCCAGGUGCAGGUGAUCAGAGCAAAGGUCUACACCUAUUCUACUGAGGCAGAGCUGAAGUGUCACAGCUCCUGCAGUCCGGCUGGUUCCCUGUACUACGUCUGGUUCAAGAACGGAGAGACAAUCAUGACCACGGGGAUAUCUUCUUAUGAAGGACUGUUUCAUCCCAGAGACAACAUCUCUUGUGCUCUGAAAGGACAUGAAGACUUCCCCUCUCCUGCAGUGUAUGCUCCAAAGCUCCCCUCUGUGUCAGUGAGUCCCUCUGCUGAGAUAGAGGAGGGCAGUUCAGUGACUCUGACCUGUAGCAGUGAUGCUAACCCAGCAGCUAACUACACCUGGUACAAGGAGAAUGAAGACUCUCCAAACGCUUCAGGACAGAUCUUCACCAUCACUGACUUCAGAGCUGAACACAGUGGGAGUUAUUCCUGUGAAGCCCAGAACAAGUUAGGACGUAGUAACUCCACCUUACAUCUGAUUGUUGCAACAGGAGCCUGGAAUUCUACAGCCGUUGGAAUAACCACUGUUGUUGUCCUGGCAGUCAUCCUCCUCUUUAUCUUUUUAUUGAUUAGAAAGAAGCAAGGUGCCAAGCGAUCGCCUGAGCCCGAAGAGUCACCAGUCAACAGGAUACAGGUGAGAAGGAAUGCAAAAAGCUGGCCCACAGAACUUCAUGUCUUAAAAGAUGUGAUUAAAGGUAGAAAAGACACCUCAGUAGGGCCCAGGAUCCGGCACCUCUCCAGCUCCCAGUCCACAUUUUGUAGUUUUAGUCUUGAACCUGUGAUCCUUUGGUUCCCAAGCCUACAGACUGAACUACUGCUGGUCCACGACAGAGGUUCAAGUAAAGCUCAAGAUUGAUUAAGGGGACAUUGGGGAUUAUUUUCCUUCACACAUUCCAUCGCAACACAAACCCAAACCCAUUUAGGUAAUCUUGUCUAUGCAAUAUCUGCCCCUCAGGGGGAGUCAGUUGAGCUUCUCUAUGCCAACAUUAAGUUCUCCAAGACCCAGGCAGUUCCUCCCUCCUCCAACAUCAGCCCUGCUCAGCCUCAUGGACACAGAGAGGAGGAUAAUGUCAUGUACGCCGAGGUCAAGUUUAACAGCGCAUCCCCGAGACGUCAGAAGUCAGCUACAGAAGAGUAUUCAACGGCACUGUACAGCAGUUAACAAAACCAGGACACAGUAGGAAUCUACAUCCCAUAAUGUAUAUUAAAGGGGCCCAAUCAUGCUCUCCUGUAGUGUGUUAUAGGUUUUGGUGACACACUAUAGAACACUCGCGCUUCUUUUGGCUAGCAUUCCAACACAUUGUACGUGAUAGGCUAAGGGGCGGGACAUCUCUAAGAGGGUGACCAAUCGCAACAGUCAGAGCAGACUGGGCUCUGGUUUCAGACAGAGGGUGAAAAGAGAUGCUGGGGCUUAAGAAAGAAAGAAAGAUGUACUUUUAUUAAUUAAUGGGGAAAUUCACAUUCUGCAUUUGAGCCAUCCUAGUGCCCGGAGCAGUGGGUUGGGACACCAGGGUAGCACUUGGCCUUUCGGGUACUUGAACUGGAACUAGUUCCCAGGCCAAGACCCUAACCACUUUGUCACCACCCCCAAGGUGCUUAAAACAGGCUUAAGCAGGUGAUUACAAAAAGACUAUGUUACUUUCUGUGGCUUUAAUAACUAUGUAGCUUAUUGAAUGCCUUCUUUUGUAAAUAUAAUGUAUAUGAAAUAGCCUAUUUUGAUAAAAAUGUACGGCAUGACAACCAUUGUUAAUCUUUUAUCUAAUCUCUGGAUUUGUGUAGAUAGAUACGACUCACACUUUAUUUAGAGGGAAUCAGACACCUCCAGAUAGCUUUUAUUAUCAAUUUUACAAAAAAUAUAACAAUUGAACCUAACUGUUAACUUGUAAAACAUGAGACAACCUUUGAAAUAGAAAUAAUGAGUGUACAGACCGAUGUGUUUAUUUUAGCUCUUGUUAUGUUAGGCACACUGUUUUUGUUUUGUAAUAUAAACCAUUAAAAAAAGCUCUAAUAAAGCGGCUGUUUGGUGAUUUGUAAUGAA